UACGGGGGGGGGCAAGCGUUGUUCGGAAUUACUGGGCGUAAAGGGCUCGUAGGUGGCCAACUAAGUCAGACGUGAAAUCCCUCGGCUUAACCGGGGAACUGCGUCUGAUACUGGAUGGCUAGAGAUUGGGAGAGGGAUGCGGAAUUCCAGGUGUAGCGGUGAAAUGCGUAGAUAUCGGGAGGAACACCAGUGGCGAAGGCGACUACCUGGCCUGUUCUUGACGCUGAGGCGCGAAAGCUAGGGAGCAAACGGG
rnacentral:rRNA from 1 species